rnacentral:rRNA from 1 species
CCUACGGGAGGCAGCAGUGAGGAAUAUUGGUCAAUGGACGAGAGUCUGAACCAGCCAAGUAGCGUGAAGGAUGACUGCCCUAUGGGUUGUAAGCUUCUUUUAUAUGGGAAUAAAAUGUUCCACGUGUGGGAUUUUGUAUGUCCCAUAUGAAUAACGAUCGGCUAACUCCGGGCCAGCAGCCGCGGUAAUACGGUGGAUCCGGUCGUUAUCCGGAUUUAUGGGGUUUAAAGGGAGCGUAGGUGGGUGGUUACGGCAGUUGUGAAAGUUUGCGGCUCAACCGGUACAUUGCAGUUGAAACUGGCAGGCUUGAGUACAGUAGAGGGUGGCAGAAUUCGUGGUGUAGCGGUGAAAUGCUUAGAGAUCAUGAAGAACUCCGAUUGCGAAGGCAGCUCACUGGACUGCAACUGACACUGAGGUUCGAAAGUGUGGGUAUCAAACAGGAUUAGAUACCCCUGUAGUC